AUUGAACGCCGGCGGCAUGCCUUACACAUGCAAGUCGAACGGCAGCACGGGGCAACCUGGUGGCGAGUGGCGAACGGGUGAGUAAUGCAUCGGAACGUACCUUUCAGUGGGGGAUAACGUAGCGAAAGUUACGCUAAUACCGCAUAUUCUGUGAGCAGGAAAGCAGGGGAUCGCAAGACCUUGCGCUGAUUGAGCGGCCGAUGUCAGAUUAGCUAGUUGGUGAGGUAAAGGCUCACCAAGGCGACGAUCUGUAGCGGGUCUGAGAGGAUGAUCCGCCACACUGGAACUGAGACACGGUCCAGACUCCUACGGGAGGCAGCAGUGGGGAAUUUUGGACAAUGGGGGCAACCCUGAUCCAGCCAUGCCGCGUGAGUGAAGAAGGCCUUCGGGUUGUAAAGCUCUUUCGGCCGGGAAGAAAUCGUAUCAGCUAAUACCUGGUGCGGAUGACGGUACCGGCAUAAGAAGCACCGGCUAACUACGUGCCAGCAGCCGCCGUAAAAC
rnacentral:rRNA from 1 species